rnacentral:rRNA from 1 species
UACGUAGGUCCCGAGCGUUGUCCGGAUUUAUUGGCGUAAAGCGAGCGCAGGAGGUUUAUUAAGUCUGGUGUAAAAGGCAGUGGCUCAACCAUUGUAUGCAUUGGAAACUGGUAGACUUGAGUGCAGGAGAGGAGAGUGGAAUUCCAUGUGUAGCGGUGAAAUGCGUAGAUAUAUGGAGGAACACCGGUGGCGAAAGCGGCUCUCUGGCCUGUAACUGACACUGAGGCUCGAAAGCGUGGGGAGCAAACAGG